AUUACAAAACCUCAGCUGAUGCAAAUACACGCUAUUUGAUUGCCUGUUCACUUUUAGCAAAACACGAUGCGUAAAAACUUCUCUCCCUAUAUAUCAAGCUCCAUUGCAAGCUUCAUUGGUUUUAAUCGUUGAGCAAGAUCAAGAAACCAGAGUGAACAGAGCUAUAUAGGAAUUGAUUGUGAUUGAUGAUCUUCUGUCUGCUUUGGUUGGAAUAGAAGGACGAUACACUUCAAUCAAAAGAGUCUGAGGGAAGGAUGCUAAUUUUGCCUUCCAGCUUGAUGCAUCUAUGGAUUUAGCACUUCAGCUUGCUGGGGGGAAUUCUGCUCUUGCGCUUGCAAUGACUGUAAUAUCUAAUCUGCUGGGAAUCUUGAUUGUAAGUUGCAACAGCUAUUCAUUAAAACAUCGGAUUAUGUUUACAUUCUUAUUUUAAAUGGAAUUCAAUGAUUGUUUGAUGAUUUAGUGAAGUUACAAGAAAGAAAAUUUGUUAAUUAUUGUUCCUA